CAGUAGCCGCGGGAAUACAGAGGUCCCGAGCGUUGUUCGGAUUCACUGGGCGUAAAGGGUGUGUAGGAGGUUUGGUAAGUCAGGUGUGAAAUCCCGCAGCUCAACUGCGGAACUGCAUUCGAUACUGCCGAACUAGAGGCUUGGAGGGGGAAGCGGAAUUCUUGGUGUAGCGGUGAAAUGCGUAGAUAUCAAGAGGAACACCGGUGGCGAAGGCGGCUUCCUGGACAAGUCCUGACUCUGAAACACGAAAGCCAGGGGAGCGAAUGGGAUUAGAUACCCCCGUAGUCCCUGUCUCUUAUAA
rnacentral:rRNA from 1 species